rnacentral:rRNA from 1 species
AUUGAACGCUGGCGGCAGGCCUAACACAUGCAAGUCGAGCGGAUGAAGGGAGCUUGCUCCUGGAUUCAGCGGCGGACGGGUGAGUAAUGCCUAGGAAUCUGCCUGGUAGUGGGGGACAACGUUUCGAAAGGAACGCUAAUACCGCAUACGUCCUACGGGAGAAAGCAGGGGACCUUCGGGCCUCGCGCUAUCAGAUGAGCCUGGGUCGGAUUAGCUAGUUGGUGAGGUAAUGGCUCACCAAGGCGACGAUCCGUAACUGGUCUGAGAGGAUGAUCAGUCACACUGGAACUGAGACACGGUCCAGACUCCUACGGGAGGCAGCAGUGGGGAAUAUUGGACAAUGGGCGAAAGCCUGAUCCAGCCAUGCCGCGUGUGUGAAGAAGGUCUUCGGAUUGUAAAGCACUUUAAGUUGGGAGGAAGGGUUGUAGAUUAAUACUCUGCAAUUUUGACGUUACCGACAGAAUAAGCACCGGCUAACUCUGUGCCAGCAGCCGCAGUAAAAC